GACGAACGCUGGCGGCGUGCUUAACACAUGCCAGUCGAACGAUGAAGAAGAGAAACGCGAACUUCGGUUCAAAUUUCACUUCGGAUUAGUGGCAGACGGGUGAGUAACGCGUGAGCAACCUACCUCUUACAAAGGGAUAGCCUCGGGAAACCGUGAUUAAUACCAUAUGACACAUUCAUAAGGCAUCUUAAGAAUGUUAAAGCUACGGCGGUAAGAGAUGGGCUCGGGUCCCAUUAGCUAGUUGGUGAGGUAACGGCCCACCAAGGCGACGAUGGGUAACCGGCCUGAGAGGGUGAACGGUCACAUUGGAACUGAGACACGGUCCAAACUCCUACGGGAGGCAGCAGUGGGGAAUAUUGCACAAUGGAGGGAACUCUGAUGCAGCGACGCCGCGUGAGCGAUGAAGGAAUUCGUUUCGUAAAGCUCUGUUCUAUGGGAAGAAAAGGACUGUACCAUAGGAGAAAGCCCCGGCUAAAUACGUG
rnacentral:rRNA from 1 species